ensembl:snRNA U1 U1 spliceosomal RNA
UUAGUUACCUGGCAGGUAAUCAUGAUCAUGAGGGUGGUUUUCCCAGGGCAAGGUUUAUCUAUUGCAGUCUCUAUGUGCUGACCUCUGUGAUUUUCCCAAAUGCAGGAAACUUGACUGCAUGGUUUGUGGUAGUGGGGGACUGCAUUUGUCCUCUCCCCUG